UACGUAGGUGGCAAGCGUUGUCCGGAUUACUGGGCGUAAAGAGCGCGCAGGCGGUCGAUCAAGUCGAGUGUGAAAGCCCCCGGCUCAACUGGGGAGGGUCACGCGAUACUGAUCGACUGGAAGGCAGGAGAGGGUAGUGGAAUUCCCGGUGUAGUGGUGAAAUGCGUAGAUAUCGGGAGGAACACCAGUGGCGAAGGCGACUACCUGGCCUGUUCUUGACGCUGAGGCGCGAAAGCUAGGGGAGCAAACGG
rnacentral:rRNA from 1 species